rnacentral:lncRNA from 1 species
GCAAAAUGGGAAGCAUUCCGAGGCUCUUAUUUUAUUUGAUUCGAUGAGGAAGGCUGGAGUUGAUUCUGAUGAGGUGACUCUGGUCAAUCUGCUGCAGUUAUGUAAGUCCUUCCUUGACCCUUAUCCGUGCAAGUUGAUACAUUCCAGAGUACUCCGACGAGGUUUUGAGUUGAAUGAGUUGGUUACAAACUCUUUGAUCGAUGCAUAUGCAAGUUGCAAUCUCAUAAAUUAUGCAUGGAGUCAAUUUAGUAUUAUGAAAACUUUCCUUGAGCCUUACCAGUGCAAGUUGAUACAUUCCAGCGUACUCCGACGAGGUUUUGAGUUGAAUGAGUUGGUUACAAACUCUUUGAUCGAUGCAUAUGCAAGUUGCGAUCUCAUAAAUUA